rnacentral:rRNA from 1 species
GGAUUAGAUACCCUGGUAGUCCACGCCGUAAACGAUGAGUGCUAGAUAUCGGGAAAUUUAUUUUUCGGUUUCGCAGCUAACGCAUUAAGCACUCCGCCUGGGGAGUACGAUCGCAAGAUUAAAACUCAAAGGAAUUGACGGGGGCUCGCACAAGUGGUGGAGCAUGCGGUUUAAUUCGAUGCUACGCGAAAAACCUUACCAACCCUUGACAUGGUGGUCGCAGAGACCAGAGAUGGACUCUUUCAGUUCGGCUGGACCACACACAGGUGUUGCAUGGCUGUCGUCAGCUCGUGUCG